UACGUAGGCAGCAAGCGUUGUUCGGAGUUACUGGGCGUAAAGGGUGCGUAGGCGGCUUUUAAGUUUGGUGUGAAAUCUCCCGGCUCAACUGGGAGGGUGCGCCCGAAUACUGAGAGGCUAGAGUGUGGGAGAGGAAAGUGGAAUUCCUGGUGUAGCGGUGAAAUGCGUAGAUAUCAGGAAGAACACCCGUGGCUAAGGCGGCUCUCUAGUACGGUACUGACGCUGAGACGCGAAAGCGUGGGGAGCGAACAGG
rnacentral:rRNA from 1 species